UAUGGCCAUAUCUCGUUGAAACAUCAGUUCUCAUACAAUCACUGAGGUUAAGCAAUGUUGAAUCUGGCCAGUACCUAGAUGAGUGACCACUUGGAAAUACCUGGUGCUGUAA